AGACAAGUACAAGAAAACUGUUAGGCCUGGGAGGGUCUUUGCAGAACCUUGGUGUCUUAAUUCCCAGCACCUUAUUCUUGCUGAGGCAGGCUCCUACCACACCUAAUGUUCAUUUGCGAGUUCAGCCCUUCCAGGAUUAAAGCUGACCUCACAAUAAUGUCUCUGGGUCCAGCCUCCUCCUUGAGCUACUUGAAAACUUUUGAUGCUCCAACUCAAACCCGAUUCUCAAACCUUCAUUAGCUAAAGUCUCACUGGACUCCAGCUUUAGGAGAAAUAAUCAAGACAUCAUUCCCUGGUCUAUGCUAAACUCUUCACACACAUUUUUUUUUUAUCUUUCUAACAACCUGGGAGGUAACGCUAUUGUCAUAGGAGAGAAAACUGAUGCUCAGAGAGGAAAAUCAGAAGCUGUAUGGAGCUGCUUCAAGAAUUUGAAUCAUCAAAGAUAUAAUCGAGUCCCCACCACCGACUAGCCGGCAAAAAAAAAAAAAAGGCCUCUAAUACAUUCGACAGGCGUGCCGGCCUCUGGAAGGAAAGCGACCCCAAUAGCCCUCAGAAGAGCAGACCCAAAGCAGAACAGCGAUCCCAAUUCCCUGACUUACUAACUGCAACUAUGAGCGAGUUAAUUGAGCCCUCGUAGCCCCUUAGUCUCUUCACCUGUAAAAAUGAGUGGGGAGGAGGGCGUGGUGACAAUAACCUGCUCAGAGGGUCAUUGAGAGCGAGCCCCGCGCGCGCGCACGUGGUCGGGACGGGGGCGCGGCCGGUUGGGCACAGCGGGUCCCGCUCACCCGCUGGGUUUUUGAAGCGCUCUCAGAGGCGUCUUCCUCCUGACCCCGGUUCCGAAGAGGCGUCACUCGCCAACGCAUCUGCCCGACUGGGGUUUUCGACGGAGAGAAGCUGCGUCACGUAGAGACGUGGGCAGAUGGCGUCAGGGGACAGACGUGGGACAAAGAGAAAGUUGUGGCGUAUUUGCCCUUCUGGUUCAUGAGAUACGGGCGAGGGGCAGUGGACACGAGGGUGUGUUUCCGAUGGUUGUGGGUGGGAGGAAUUGCUUUUUUUAAAUCCAGAUAUAUACAGUGCUCCUUCACCCCCUAAACUUGGUGGAUUUUUCUUUUUUCUUUGCUUUUCUCAACCACAGCGCUUGCCCCCCAGCGGCCUCGCGUCGGACUGAAGCCAGGCAAAGGGAGGGGGAUGAUCUGGCAUGGGUGGUCCCUAUUCAGGGAGCACCAGGCCGGCUGCUGGAUGGAGAACGUGGCGGGGCUUGGGGCAGCGGCGCAUCCCCGCCAGUCAUGGAAAGCCUUGAGCGACUCCCAGACGGUCUCUGGGGAGAAGGCUGGCCGCCUCCGUGGGCGCUGGGAGUGCGGGCGAGGCCGGGAAGGGC
rnacentral:lncRNA from 1 species